rnacentral:rRNA from 1 species
GGCGAGUGAAGCGGCAACAGCUCAAAUUUGAAAUCUGGCUCUUUCAGAGUCCGAGUUGUAAUUUGCAGAGGGCGCUUUGGCUUUGGCAGCGGUCCAAGUUCCUUGGAACAGGACGUCACAGAGGGUGAGAAUCCCGUACGUGGUCGCUAGCUAUUGCCGUGUAAAGCCCCUUCGACGAGUCGAGUUGUUUGGGAAUGCAGCUCUAAAUGGGAGGUAAAUUUCUUCUAAAGCUAAAUAUUGGCCAGAGACCGAUAGCGCACAAGUAGAGUGAUCGAAAGAUGAAAAGCACUUUGGAAAGAGAGUCAAACAGCACGUGAAAUUGUUGAAAGGGAAGCGCUUGCAGCCAGACUUGCUUGCAGUUGCUCAUCCGGGCUUUUGCCCGGUGCACUCUUCUGCAGGCAGGCCAGCAUCAGUUUGGGCGGUGGGAUAAAGGUCUCUGACACGUACCACCUUUCGGGGUGAACAUAUAGGGGAGAUGACAUACCACCAGCCUGGACUGAGGUCCGCGCAUCUGCUAGGAUGCUGGCGUAAUGGCUGUAAGCGGCCCGUCUUGAAACACGGACCAAGGAGUCUAACAUCUAUGCGAGUGUUUGGGUGUCAAGCCCGAACGCGUAAUGAAAGUGAACGGAGGUGGGAACCCGCAAGGGUGCACCAUCGACCGAUCCUGAAGUUUACGGAAGGAUUUGAGUAAGAGCAUGGCUGUUGGGACCCGAAAGAUGGUGAACUAUGCUUGAAUAGGGUGAAGCCAGAGGAAACUCUGGUGGAGGCUCGCAGCGGUUCUGACGUGCAAAUCGAUCGUCAAAUUUGGGCAUAGGNGCGAAAAGACUAAUCGAACUAUCUAGUAGCUGG